CACCACUCAAGCCUGGCUUGGUGUUGGGCGCUGUCCCUCCCCUUCUUCGGGGGGACAGGCCUGAAAGGCAGUGGCGGCGUCGCGUCCGGUCCUCGAGCGUAUGGGGCUUUGUCACCCGCUCUGUGAGGAUCCGGCCGGGGCCUGUCUCACCCCCAAUCUUCUCUAA
rnacentral:misc_RNA from 1 species